GUGCCAGCCGCCGCGGUAAUACGUAGGGUGCGAGCGUUAAUCGGAAUUACUGGGCGUAAAGCGUGCGCAGGCGGUUUGUCGCGUCUGUCGUGAAGGUCCGGGGCUUAACCCCGGAUCUGCGGUGGGUACGGGCAGACUAGAGUGCAGUAGGGGAGACUGGAAUUCCUGGUGUAGCGGUGGAAUGCGCAGAUAUCAGGAGGAACACCGAUGGCGAAGGCAGGUCUCUGGGCUGUAACUGACGCUGAGGAGCGAAAGCAUGGGGAGCGAACAGGAUUAGAUACCCUGGUAGUCCAUGCCGUAA
rnacentral:rRNA from 1 species